GAAAAAAUAACUUUAAGCACUUUAUGGGCCUUUAAACUUCUCUUCUUUUUACAGAAAUACAAGAAAGUUAAAAAUAACAUUCAACCCGAUUCCUCCACAACUCUUCAAGCCGCAACCAUCUCCGUAUCUUUCACUCAUUUUGAUCCAAAUCCGCCGACCUAGAAGGGCCGCCUGCCAGAAUUAAAUUUCAGCAAUUAUCGCUCUCAGAAUCUGGAGUUGCAAUCAGAUUCAUCCACUCUAACUCGUGUUCUGUGAAUUUCCUGCAAAAGAGUCUAGUAACGUUGAUAUUACUCCAUAUGAGGUUAAAAUGUAAUUUUGCUACUUACCUUUUCCCUUAAUCACUUUGGUGAUAAUUUUUUUUUAAAAAAAUUCAGAUCUUGGAUACAUCAGAUUUUGAAGGUUGUGAGAUCAAUUAAUGUGAAGGAAUCCUGAUUUGGUGAAAGUAUAUGGAACACUUCAUCAAGAAAAAUACAUGGAUGCUGAAGCUUUGAAUUAUGUUGGUGUAUUUGAAAAUUAUAAGAGAAAAGUUAUGGUUAUGUGGUCAUGUGUUGAAGUCAUUCAUUACGUUGUUUGAAUCGUAUAUGGUGUACAACUCUUGAAACUUUUGAAAGGAAUAAAAAUAUUUGUAGUA